AGAUUUAUAGCUCAAUGGUAGAGCAUUUCAUUUAGAAUGAAAAAGGCUAGUGGUUCGACUCCAUUUUUAUCUA
rnacentral:tRNA from 1 species